CAAUGAGAUGAAGUUGUACCACUUCCAUCAGUCCCGACAUUUGUCAAAGAAGUGCGGUUUAUAAAUGACCAAGUGGAUGAAGCAGCCACACUCUCACCGGUCCAGAUAUUCCUGAAAGAAGCGGAAGGUCUUUAUGAAUCGCCAGAGGACUUUGAAGUUGGC